ACCAGAGAGAUACAAUUCAAGCCUGCCUGGACGUUACGGCUAAUUAUGAAUCAAUUGACAUGAGAAGUUUAACACAAAAACAUGGUACGUUUAAUGUUAGGGUAUAGUAAAUUGAGAAAUUCGGUUGAGUUGACUCUGAUGAUUAGAAUUUAAAACUGAACUCAAUCUGAAUAGGGAAUAUAUAUUUUACAAAGGCGGGCAGAUUUGUGCCUACAGCCAAGCAAAGGAAUUGCUAGACACUCAAUGGGGCUAUAUAGUGCAACGCUUUGGACUAUAAAUUAGGUAAGAAUAGUUUAAUCGUAAGAAGUUGUGAUUGUUUUUCUGAUUAUUGAUCUUUGGUUAAGGUAACACCAGUGAAUUUGAACAAAAAGUAACGUAUUCUAAAAAUGAUCUGAUUUCCGUUCUCCAAAUGAAAAGUCUUAUCUUAAAGGGACAGUGCACGGUAAUCACAGUGGUUUGAGUGUAUGACAGUGGAAAAAAUAUUGUGGGACGACAAUUCAAAGAGAGAAAAAUAAGUUACAUGAAACAUCAAGAGAUUUAAAACGAACGACGUGAAGGGAUCAUAAGAAUUAUUGGGUGUCGUUGUAGGAGUAAAUGUUUGGGUUAAGGGGAUUUCCCUGUUCCCAGAGACAAGGCAUUUUUAGGGCGAGCACUCGCUAAUGCUGGUCUGAGUUGUAAUUAGACAAGUGAAUAACGUAUUGGGAAUAGAGUUGUAAUUAAAAUACUAAGUCAAAGACGAGACAGGUAUUUAGAGCAAAAUGGAUUCUAAAUGAUAACAAAGAGACAAUUAUGAUUUAUGCCCAUCAAAAAGCUUUUAUAAAAUUGGCGAAUUUAGAGAUGUUGGUUGGGGGGGUAAAUUAUAAUUCAGGAUUUGAACAGAUGUGAAAAAUUAGGUUUGGUUAAUCGAACAAGAAUUAUUUACAAUUCAUUUGAAGUCGCUACGAAUUGGCAGAUUGAGCGCUUGAUGAUGACGUCACUAGCGCGACACUUUUGUCACCAGAAGACUGGGAAUAACGGAGCAAACUGUAUGGCUAUUAGAGUGUGUAUCGAGGCUUCGAGUAAACCUUUCAGAAGUUGAGAUAAAAGUGUUUUGUUUAUUUGUUUAUUGGUUAUAGUCAAUUUUUGGGUUUGAUUUAACUUAGUUGAACAGUGUGUUCUGGCGGGUUUAGGUAGAACUCUUUGUUCCGGAACGGAUGAAAGUUACCCAUAAUUUUAUGCCCAGCAGGAGAACUACAGAGGGAGGUGGCACACGAGAUUCAACCAGGAGACUGGAUCCAAUCACGAAAAAGAAAAAAAACUGGAAGCAGCCUCGGUAUGAGGGACCAUUCCAAGUACUACUGGUGACUGCCUUCGCUGUGAGAUUAGCCGAAAGAGCUACCUGGGUACAUAUCACACAUUGUAAGAGGUUAAGUCACACUAGCACUGUCGGACGAUCACAGGAGAAGGAGAGGAACCGUGACCCAUAUGGAACGGGGGUCAAACUCCUUCUGAAGAUUCCCUAUACCCGACCUUUCCCCAGCUGUGAGCGUUCAUAGAAGUGAAGUGAUGGCUUGGCCUCUGGCUGUUGAUAUGUUCUCGGGGAGAGGGUGGGGCUUCACGUGCGCACUGACCGUCCUGAGCUGUUUUAUUGUGGGGGCCAUAUUCCUGAUUCAACAUGAUCCCCCGGAAAGUGCCAAAGAGGAUAAUUUGACUCAUGUGCUAGAUGAGGGAAAUGGGAUGUUACCUAAGAUUCUCAGAAGGUCACUGAAACAAAAUAGUAAGGAAGUGAGGGUGGAAUUGGGCAAGGAUCUCUCAGUAGAAUUUUGUGUAGAUCAAUUGGGUUCAUUCACUCCUUGGCAGUCUAGAACCAUGGGACUCUAUGGGAAGUAUUUGUGUAAAUCACCAUAUUGAUCGUGGACAGGUCAUAGCUCACACUGAAAGGGAUGGCUACGUAAACCCAUACACUCAAUUUGGGACCAGGUGGAGUAUAGUAAGGGUUGGCGUUUUGGACUGUGUUCCUGAACAGAGGAAGUAUUGUAUAAAGGUACGAAUAGUUCAGACCAAAGACCUCAAAGAAGUUAUAGAAGUGGAGACUGGGUUUGGGGAGUCCAACUUAUGGUUGGAAUGGAUUCAAUACGGCCAGAUCAGUGGCUAAAGAAGAAUGUUAUGUCUGUGCGAACGCUAAACACCAGUUAACAACUAUCCCUUUUCCACUGAACGGAAUUAAUUCCCCUAAGGGAAUGGCAUGUAUGGUAAAGCUGUUCAUGAAAGCAGGAAUGCCAGAUAAUGACAGUUGUCACUAUUUAUAUCCCCAGGAACCAAGUUGGUACAGAGAAAAUGACCACUGACGAGACCAUGUCUGAAUUGACAGGCUGGUUGAACUCUGGGGAUUUCAAUGAAAUAAAAUGGGCCAGUGUCGCCAUCUGGUGGUUGUGCGGGGGAAUGAGUUUGACUGAUUGGACGGGUUAGGAAUGCCUUUUACACUCAUACAACACCAAGACAUGAAGUUAGCCAAAACGAGAGAGAAGAGAUGCUCCAUCUGGGUCUUUUGACGACAGAGUAUAUAUUGAUAACAUUGGGGUUCCACGAGGGGUGCCGGAUGAGUUCAAGGCAAGAAAUCAGAUACUAGCAGGAUUAGAGUCAAGUAUUUUUUGGUGGUCUACUCUCAAUAAGAAUGUAGACUGGAUUAAUUAUAUUUAUUAUAAUCAACAGCGCUUUAUCAAUUAUUCCAGAGAUGCGAUUAAAGGGUUGGCAGAACAGACUGAAGCAACCAGCCUGAUGGCUUGGCAGAAUAGAAUUGCAUUGGAUAUGUUAUUGGCUGAAAAGGGAGGAGUAUGUGUGAUCUUCGGGAACAUGUGUUGUACUUUCAUCCCGAAUAACACAGCUCCGGACGGAUCUGUGACCAACGCCUUAGCUGGUUUGACCACCCUGGCUCACGAGUUGGCAGAAAACUCUGGGGUGGAUCCUUCCCUGACUAAUUGGUUUGAUAGUACAUUUGGAAAAUGGAAAAGUGUUGUAAUCACGGUGUUUUGGGCUGUAUCUACCUGUAUGACUGUUUUAAUUUUAUGCGGCUGUUGUCUAAUUCCCUGUGUGCGAGGCCUUGUUUCCAGGACUCUGGAAAGAUCAAUGACCCUGCAGAUGGUGCGUUAUGGGCCGAUUCCAGAUUCUGACCUGUGGAGGACUGAAGGCAUGUCUACAGAGGAAGUGGACGAAUCCGGAUCUGUCAUUUGUGGGGAAUUUAUGUUUGAUGAGAAUAGUAUUGAGAUGAAGGGGAAUUAGAUUGUAAUUUGUUUCAAUGAUUAAACAGUUUUUUGAUAAAGAUUGUAAAAAAUUUUUUAAAAAAAGAAAGAAUCCUGAAAGAGGAGUUAUGAUUCUGAUGCAGAUUUAAAAACAGUUGGAGUUAAGGUUAGAUUUGAUUGAAGAUGGGUGAAGUGUCGGUUAAACAUUUAUAAUAAUAUUUUUAUUUUGAAGAUUUGAAUGUAUAAUAUUUGAUCAAAGGGAGGAUUGAUAGAGGAAAAUAUGUUUGAAAUGACUAAUUAUGUAUACAUUCCAAUCAGAAACUGACUAGUCCAAAUGCUAUAAUGUACUGUCCCUCUUGCUCCCUUUCACAAUUGUAUAUAAUGUAGUCAGGAAGUUUAGUAACAAUGAAGGUCUGUUCUUUAAGUUCAUUCAGUUGUACAAAUCUCCAGGUGGUGGGAACGGACCAUCUCCAAAAUGGUCGGGAAUGUUGAUUUAUGCUGACUGGCCUUGACUUCGUGCUGAUAACGCGGAGGCUUGAGAAUUAGAGGGGCCCUCUGUUUGUGAAACGGAACGUUUGGAAAACGCUGACGUCAUUUUCAGUUUAUAACCUGUGGUAAUGUGUGUAAGCAUUUAGUACUCUCUGGAAUUAAACGCUCUUUACCUGGCUUUUAA